GACGAACGCUGGCGGCGUGCUUAACACAUGCAAGUCGAACGGAAAGGCCCUGCUUGCAGGGUACUCGAGUGGCGAACGGGUGAGUAACACGUGGGUGAUCUGCCCUGCACUUCGGGAUAAGCCUGGGAAACUGGGUCUAAUACCGGAUAGGAGCCAUUUUUAGUGUGAUGGUUGGAAAGUUUUUUUCGGUGUAGGAUGAGCUCGCGGCCUAUCAGCUUGUUGGUGGGGUAAUGGCCUACCAAGGCGGCGACGGGUAGCCGGCCUGAGAGGGUGGACGGCCACAUUGGGACUGAGAUACGGCCCAGACUCCUACGGAAGGCAGCAGUGGGGAAUAUUGCACAAUGGGCGCAAGCCUGAUGCAGCGACGCCGCGUGGGGGAUGACGGCCUUCGGGUUGUAAACUCCUUUCGCUAGGGACGAAGCUUUUUGUGACGGUACCUAGAUAAGAAGCACCGGCUAACUACGUG
rnacentral:rRNA from 1 species